UACAGAGGUCUCAAGCGUUGUUCGGAUUUAUUGGGCGUAAAGGGUGCGUAGGUGGCUUGAAAAGUUAUCAGUGGCAAAUCGAGGCUUAACCUCGCGGAAACUGGUAAUACUGUUUGGCUCGAGUGCAGGAGAGGUUAACGGAACUCUAUGUGGAGCGGUAAAAUGCACAGAUAUAUAGAAGAACACCAAUAACGGCGAAGGCAGUUAACUAUUCUGUUACUGACACUGAGGCACGAAAGCGUGGGGAGCAAAACGG
rnacentral:rRNA from 1 species